UACGGAGGAUCCAAGCGUUAUCCGGAUUUAUUGGGUUUAAAGGGUGCGUAGGCGGCGUGCUAAGUCAGUGGUGAAAGACGAUGGCUCAACCAUCGCAGUGCCGUUGAUACUGGCGCGCUUGAAUGCGGAUGAGGUAGGCGGAAUGUGGCAAGUAGCGGUGAAAUGCAUAGAUAUGCCACAGAACACCGAUUGCGAAGGCAGCUUACCAAGGCGCGAUUGACGCUGAUGCACGAAAGCGUGGGGAUCGAACAGG
rnacentral:rRNA from 1 species